CCUGGGAAUGUUGAUUUGAUUAAUUUUCGUUCUACAUAUUUAGUGCAAUCGAGCACCGGGUUAUACCAACCGUGAGUAGGAGUGCAAGGACACAUACAUAAUAAAGUUACAUUUAUAAUUGUAAUGGUAUUUAUUAAUGACUUUACAUCAUAAAGAAAGCAUAGUUAGGGUAAUGCUUUGGAGACACCACUAAGGGCAUUGUGUAGAAAGAUAUGUGCUUUUGGCAGUAACAUCACAGGGCAGCCUACUUAGGAAUACACUGAAUAAGAACCAGAUGUAGGAGGAAAUCUGGCUUUUUUAGGGGGGCUUUUUAACUGACUGAAGAUGUAUCAGAACUGCCUUAACCCCAGCAAAGGGCUGGG